GGUUGUGGCUCAGUGGCAGAGCACUUGCCUUGUACAUGUGAGGCACUGGGUUUGAUCCUCAGCACCA
rnacentral:tRNA from 1 species